rnacentral:rRNA from 1 species
AGAGACAGCAGUCGCCGCGGUAAUACGAAGGGUGCAAGCGUUACUCGGAAUUACUGGGCGUAAAGCGUGCGUAGGUGGUGGUUUAAGUCCGUUGUGAAAGCCCUGGGCUCAACCUGGGAAUUGCAGUGGAUACUGGGUCACUAGAGUGUGGUAGAGGAUAGUGGAAUUUCCGGUGUAGCAGUGAAAUGCGUAGAGAUCGGAAGGAACAUCUGUGGCGAAGGCGACUAUCUGGGCCAACACUGACACUGAGGCACGAAAGCGUGGGGAGCAAACAGGAUUAGAUACCCCUGUAGUCCCUGUCUCUUAUAC